UACGUAGGGCGCAAGCGUUGUCCGGAAUUAUUGGGCGUAAAGAGCUCGUAGGCGGCUUGGCAAGUCGGGUGUGAAACCUCCAGGCUCAACCUGGAGACGCCACUCGAUACUGCUAUGGCUAGAGUCCGGUAGGGGACCACGGAAUUCCUGAUGUAGCGGUGAAAUGCGCAGAUAUCAGGAGGAACACCGGUGGCGAAGGCGGUGGUCUGGGCCGGCACUGACGCUGAGGAGCGAAAGCGUGGGUAGCAAACAGG
rnacentral:rRNA from 1 species